GGCGCGGUAGCAAAGCGGUUAUGCGUCGGAUUGCAAAUCCGUUGAGGCCGGUUCGACUCCGGCCCGCGCCUCCA
rnacentral:tRNA from 5 species